rnacentral:tRNA from 1 species
GCCGGAGUAGCUCAGUCGGCAGAGCACCUCCAUGGUAAGGAGGGGGUCAGGGGUUCGAGUCCCCUCUCCGGCUCCA